GACGAACGCUGGCGGCGUGCUUAACACAUGCAAGUCGAACGAUGAUGCUGGAGCUUGCUCCAGUUGAUUAGUGGCGAACGGGUGAGUAACACGUGAGCAAUCUGCCCUUGACUCUGGGAUAACUGCGGGAAACUGUAGCUAAUACCGGAUACUUUCACCGGAAGGCAUCUUCUGGUGAUGAAAGAAUUUCGGUCAGGGAUGAGCUCGCGGCCUAUCAGCUUGUUGGUGAGGUAACGGCUCACCAAGGCGACGACGGGUAACCGGCCUGAGAGGGUGACCGGUCACACUGGGACUGAGACACGGCCCAGACUCCUACGGGAGGCAGCAGUGGGGAAUAUUGCACAAUGGGCGCAAGCCUGAUGCAGCAACGCCGCGUGAGGGAUGAAGGCCUUCGGGUUGUAAACCUCUUUUAGCAGGGAAGAAGCGAAAGUGACGGUACCUGCAGAAAAAGUACCGGCUAACUACGUGCCAGCCGCCGCAGUAA
rnacentral:rRNA from 1 species